CGGAUUAAACGGAUGGGGAGAUGGGAAUCACUAAGGUUCCGCUCGUAUGUGCGGCCGGAUAGACUGGUGUGAGGAGGUGGACAAAGUGGGGGGAGUUUGGGGGAGUAUAUGCUGCUUUAUCGCUGUUGUGUUUUCUUUUAGGUUGGACGGUGUGGAUAAUUGGCCAUUUGUAUGUCUAUUGGGCACAGAAGAGGGACGCAGUUCGAAGAAACGGAACACAGCUGGGCUUUCCUGUGGAACGGGUGGCGUUAUCCUGGUUUGGUUAUCGGGGGUUUGAUUGGCAGCACAUUAGUAUACCGAUGUUUCAAAAGAUUGCGAAGGAGGCUUUACCAAAUGUGGUAGUAGUUCAUGG